rnacentral:rRNA from 1 species
AAAAACUUGAUGUUGAUUUUUAUCAUCCAUAACCAAUACAACUUUCAACAACGGAUCUCUUGGCUCUCGCAUCGAUGAAGAGCGCAGCGAAAUGCGAUAAGUAAUGUGAAUUGCAGAAUUCAGUGAAUCAUCGAAUCUUUGAACGCACAUUGCGCCCCCUGGUAUUCCGGGGGGCAUGCCUGUUCGAGCGUCACAAAAGAGGCUCAGGCGAAAGCUUGAUGUUGGGCGUUUUUUUGGGCCGCUUACAUUGUACCUUGAAAGACGGGAUUUCUCAGCGGCCCCGUCCUAAAUGCAUUGGCAUCGACGCGUAUCCCCGAGCGUACCAGGGCUUUAUUGUCUUCGCUCUGAGGGUGGCCGCGAUCCGGACUUGCCCCGCAACGACUCCCCAAAACUACAUUAAAUUGACCUCGGAUCAGGUAGGGAUACCCGCUGAACUUAAGCAUAUCAAUAAGCGGAGGAAAUCG